CCUACGGGGGGCAGCAGUGGGGGAUAUUGCACAAUGGGGGAAACCCUGAUGCAGCGACGCCGCGUGUGGGAAGACGGUCCUCUGGAUUGUAAACCACUGUCCCCAGGGACGAAGAUGACGGUACCUGGGGAGGAAGCUCCGGCUAACUACGUGCCAGCAGCCGCGGUAAUACGUAGGGUGCGAGCGUUGUCCGGAAUUACGGGGUGUAAAGGGAGCGUAGGCGGGGAUGGAAGUUGGGGGUAAAAACUACCGGUUCAACUGGUAGUCGCACUCAAAACUGCAGCUCUUGAGUGAAGUAGAGGCAGGCGGAAUUCCUAGUGUAGCGGUGAAAUGCGUAGAUAUUAGGAGGAACACCAGUGGCGAAGGCGGCCUGCUGGGCUUUUACUGACGCUGAGGCUCGAAAGUGUGGGGAGCAAACAGGAUUAGAUACCCCUGUAGUC
rnacentral:rRNA from 1 species